UGUAUAUUUUUUUGUAUAAUGUUAUAGUGGAAGGAAUAUAGGUUUUUAAUAUUAAGAUUUAAAUUUGUAAAAAAUUUGGAGUUUGGUUUUUUGUUUUGUUUGGUUUUGUUUUGUUUGAAUUAAAUUAUUAUAUUAUUUAAAAUUUUUAUAUGUUUUAAUUAUUUGGUUUUAAAAUAUUAAAUUUGUAUUGUAUAUGGUUUUUAUGGAAAGGUUUUUUUAGUAGGAUAGUUAUAG
rnacentral:misc_RNA from 1 species